GACGUAGGGGGCCAGCGUUGUUCGGAAUUACUGGGUGUAAAGGGUUCGUAGGCGGUGUGGCAAGUCGGGAGUGAAAUCUCUGGGCUCAACUCAGAGACUGCUUCCGAAACUGCUGUGCUGGAGUGUGGGAGAGGCGCGUGGAAUUGCAGGUGUAGCGGUGAAAUGCGUAGAUAUCUGCAGGAACACCCGUGGCGAAGGCGACUACCUGGCCUGUUCUUGACGCUGAGGCGCGAAAGCUAGGGGAGCAAACGGG
rnacentral:rRNA from 1 species